UUAAGCGACUAAGCGUACACGGUGGAUGCCCUGGCAGUCAGAGGCGAUGAAGGACGUGCUAAUCUGCGAAAAGCGUCGGUAAGGUGAUAUGAACCGUUAUAGCCGGCGAUGUCCGAAUGGGGAAACCCAGUGCAAUUCGUUGCACUAUCGUUAACUGAAUACAUAGGUUAACGAGGCGAACCGGGGGAACUGAAACAUCUAAGUACCCCGAGGAAAAGAAAUCAACCGAGAUUCCCCCAGUAGCGGCGAGCGAACGGGGAGCAGCCGGAGUCUGAAUCAGCUUGUGUGUUAGUGGAAGCGUCUGGAAAGUCGCAGGGUACAGGGUGAUACUCCCGUACACUAAAACACACAGGUUGUGAACUCGAAGAGUAGGGCGGGACACGUGGUAUCCUGUCUGAAUAUGGGGGGACCAUCCUCCAAGGCUAAAUACUCCUGACUGACCGAUAGUGAACCAGUACCGUGAGGGAAAGGCGAAAAGAACCCCGGCGAGGGGAGUGAAAAAGAACCUGAAACCGUGUACGUACAAGCAGUAGGAGCCCACUAGUUGGGUGACUGCGUACCUUUUGUAUAAUGGGUCAGCGACUUAUAUUCUGUAGCAAGGUUAACCGUAUAGGGGAGCCGCAGGGAAACCGAGUCUUAACUGGGCGUUAAGUUGCAGGGUAUAGACCCGAAACCCGGUGAUCUAGCCAUGGGCAGGUUGAAGGUUGGGUAACACUAACUGGAGGACCGAACCGACUAAUGUUGAAAAAUUAGCGGAUGACUUGUGGCUGGGGGUGAAAGGCCAAUCAAACCGGGAGAUAGCUGGUUCUCCCCGAAAGCUAUUUAGGUAGCGCCUCGUGAACUCAUCUUCGGGGGUAGAGCACUGUUUCGGCUAGGGGGUCAUCCCGACUUACCAACCCGAUGCAAACUACGAAUACCGAAGAAUGUUAUCACGGGAGACACACGGCGGGUGCUAACGUCCGUCGUGAAGAGGGAAACAACCCAGACCGCCAGCUAAGGUCCCAAAGUCAUGGUUAAGUGGGAAACGAUGUGGGAAGGCCCAGACAGCCAGGAUGUUGGCUUAGAAGCAGCCAUCAUUUAAAGAAAGCGUAAUAGCUCACUGGUCGAGUCGGCCUGCGCGGAAGAUGUAACGGGGCUAAACCAUGCACCGAAGCUGCGGCAGCGACACUAUGUGUUGUUGGGUAGGGGAGCGUUCUGUAAGCCGUUGAAGGUGGCCUGUGAGGGUUGCUGGAGGUAUCAGAAGUGCGAAUGCUGACAUAAGUAACGAUAAUGCGGGUGAAAAACCCGCACGCCGGAAGACCAAGGGUUCCUGUCCAACGUUAAUCGGGGCAGGGUGAGUCGACCCCUAAGGCGAGGCCGAAAGGCGUAGUCGAUGGGAAACAGGUUAAUAUUCCUGUACUCGGUGUUACUGCGAAGGGGGGACGGAGAAGGCUAUGUUGGCCGGGCGACGGUUGUCCCGGUUUAAGCAUGUAGGCGGAUGUUCCAGGUAAAUCCGGAACGUCACUAACGCUGAGGUGUGAUGACGAGGCACUACGGUGCUGAAGUGACAAAUGCCCUGCUUCCAGGAAAAGCCUCUAAGCAUCAGGUAACAUCAAAUCGUACCCCAAACCGACACAGGUGGUCAGGUAGAGAAUACCAAGGCGCUUGAGAGAACUCGGGUGAAGGAACUAGGCAAAAUGGUGCCGUAACUUCGGGAGAAGGCACGCUGAUGGUAGGUGAAGUGACUUGCUCAUGGAGCUGAAAUCAGUCGAAGAUACCAGCUGGCUGCAACUGUUUAUUAAAAACACAGCACUGUGCAAACACGAAAGUGGACGUAUACGGUGUGACGCCUGCCCGGUGCCGGAAGGUUAAUUGAUGGGGUUAUCCGUAAGGAGAAGCUCUUGAUCGAAGCCCCGGUAAACGGCGGCCGUAACUAUAACGGUCCUAAGGUAGCGAAAUUCCUUGUCGGGUAAGUUCCGACCUGCACGAAUGGCGUAAUGAUGGCCAGGCUGUCUCCACCCGAGACUCAGUGAAAUUGAACUCGCUGUGAAGAUGCAGUGUACCCGCGGCAAGACGGAAAGACCCCGUGAACCUUUACUAUAGCUUGACACUGAACACUGGUCCUUGAUGUGUAGGAUAGGUGGGAGGCUUUGAAGUGUGGACGCCAGUCUGCAUGGAGCCAUCCUUGAAAUACCACCCUUUAAUGGCUGGUGUUCUAACGUGGGCCCCUAAUCGGGGUUGCGGACAGUGUCUGGUGGGUAGUUUGACUGGGGCGGUCUCCUCCUAAAGAGUAACGGAGGAGCACGAAGGUCAGCUAAUCCUGGUCGGACAUCAGGAGGUUAGUGCAAUGGCAUAAGCUGGCUUGACUGCGAGCGUGACGGCGCGAGCAGGUGCGAAAGCAGGUCAUAGUGAUCCGGUGGUUCUGAAUGGAAGGGCCAUCGCUCAACGGAUAAAAGGUACUCCGGGGAUAACAGGCUGAUACCGCCCAAGAGUUCAUAUCGACGGCGGUGUUUGGCACCUCGAUGUCGGCUCAUCACAUCCUGGGCUGAAGUAGGUCCCAAGGGUAUGGCUGUUCGCCAUUUAAAGUGGUACGCGAGCUGGGUUUAGAACGUCGUGAGACAGUUCGGUCCCUAUCUGCCGUGGGCGCUGGAGAAUUGAGGGGGGCUGCUCCUAGUACGAGAGGACCGGAGUGGACGCAUCACUGGUGUUCGGGUUGUCAUGCCAAUGGCAUUGCCCGGUAGCUAAAUGCGGAAGAGAUAAGUGCUGAAAGCAUCUAAGCACGAAACUUGCCCCGAGAUGAGUUCUCCCUGACUCCUUGAGAGUCCUGAAGGAACGUUGAAGACGACGACGUUGAUAGGCCGGGUGUGUAAGCGCAGCGAUGCGUUGAGCUAACCGGUACUAAUGAACCGUGAGGCUUAACCUU
rnacentral:rRNA from 2 species